GUUUGAUCCUGGCUCGAAUGAACGCUGGCGGCAGGCCUAACACAUGCAAGUCGAACGGAGUUAUAUUGUAGCUUGCUAUGGUAUAACUUAGUGGCAGACGGGUGAGUAAUGUAUAGGAAUCUACCUAGUAGUACGGAAUAAUUGUUGGAAACGGCAACUAAUACCGUAUACGCCCUACGGGGGAAAAAUUUAUUGCUAUUAGAUGAGCCUAUAUUAGAUUAGCUAGUUGGUGGAGUAAUAGCCUACCAAGGCAAUGAUCUAUAGCUGAUCUGAGAGGAUGAUCAGCCACACUGGAACUGAGAUACGGUCCAGACUCCUACGGGAGGCAGCAGUGGGGAAUAUUGGACAAUGGGCGAAAGCCUGAUCCAGCCAUGCCGCAUGAGUGAAGAAGGCCUUUGGGUUGUAAAGCUCUUUUAGUGAGGAAGAUAAUGACGGUACUCACAGAAGAAGUCCUGGCUAACUCCGUGCCAGCAGCCGCGGUAAUACGGAGAGGGCUAGCGUUAUUCGGAAUUAUUGGGCGUAAAGGGCGCGUAGGCGGAUUAGUAAGUUAAAAGUGAAAUCCCAAGGCUCAACCUUGGAAUUGCUUUUAAAACUGCUAAUCUAGAGAUUGAAAGAGGAUAGAGGAAUUCCUAGUGUAGAGGUGAAAUUCGUAAAUAUUAGGAGGAACACCAGUGGCGAAGGCGUCUAUCUGGUUCAAAUCUGACGCUGAGGCGCGAAGGCGUGGGGAGCAAACAGGACUAGAUACCCUGGUAGUCCACGCUGUAAACGAUGAAUGUUAAAUAUGGGAAGUUUUACUUUCUGUAUUACAGCUAACGCGUUAAACAUUCCGCCUGGGGACUACGGUCGCAAGAUUAAAACUCAAAGGAAUUGACGGGGACCCGCA
rnacentral:rRNA from 1 species